GAUGAACGCUAGCGGGAGGCCUAACACAUGCAAGCCGAGCGGUAUUGUUUCUUCGGAAAUGAGAGAGCGGCGUACGGGUGCGUAACACGUGUGCAACCUGCCUUUAUCUGGGGAGAGCCUUUCGAAAGGAAGAUUAAUACUCCAUAAUAUAUUGAACGGCAUCGUUUAAUAUUGAAAGCUCCGGCGGAUAGAGAUGGGCACGCGCAAGAUUAGCUAGUUGGUGAGGUAACGGCUAACAAAGGCGAUGAUCUCUAGGGGGCCUGAGAGGGUGAUCCCCCACACUGGUACUGAGACACGGACCAGACUCCUACGGGAGGCAGCAGUGAGGAAUAUUGGUCAAUGUGUGCAAGCCUGAACCAGCCAUCCCGCGUGAAGGACGACUGCCCUAUGGGUUGUAAACUUCUUUUGUAUAGGGAUAAACCUACCCUCGUGAGGGUAGCUGAAGGGACUAUACGAAUAAGCACCGGCUAACUCCGUGCCAGCCGCCGCCGUAA
rnacentral:rRNA from 1 species